GAUCCCAUUUUAAAUUUUGAUGAAAAAUUACCCCCAGAAAUUUAACGCUACAGUCUGUUGGAAGAGUUUGAUUAUUAUAUAUAAUAUUCAUUAAUGGAACAUAUUUAUGAACUUGAUGAAAAACAACUACUUUACUUUUGGUUAAACUAAUAUCGAGGGAAAGAAGAGAAAAAUAUUUCUCAAGUCUUUUUAAUGACUCAUUUAACACUAAUUGCAUAUCAAUAAUAUUCUUUCCUUUUAUAUAAAUUAAUAAAUCAUCGGCAAAUUGCAAGUUGUUCACACUGUUUCCUAAAAUUGAAUUAAGUUUAUAGAUAUAUAAAAUAUAUAGUAGCGGGCUUAGAAUACCACCUUGACAUACUCCUUUAGAGCUUAACCUAGGUCCUAUUAAUUUACUAUUUACUUUAACAUACACUUCUCUAUUACUAAGAAAAUUAUAAAUCCAUUCGAUAAGUUUCAUUGGAAGAAAUGAGGAUAAAAUCGAAGAUAGAACUGUUAAAUUUACAUUGUUAAAAGCUCCUACGACAUCUAAAAAAACAGAUAGAACAUAUUCAUCGUUAUUCAAAGCAGUACUAAGGUCGACAUAGAAGUUCGCUAAACUUUCGCGCGCUGAAUAUCCACGGCGAAAACCAAAUUGAUUCGAUGGUAAUAUACUAUUACUUUCAAUAAAGAACUCUAAACGCUGUUUAAUUAAUUGUUCGAAUAAUUUGCCUGCACAGGACGUCAAUGUUAUAGGUCUAUAGGAGUCGAAAUUUGUAGGAUCUUUACCGGGUUUAAUUACUGGAAUCAAACAAUCCAUUUUCCAUUCUGGUGGGAUAAUACAGUCCUUCCAUAAAUCGUUAAAAAUUUGUAAGAGUUUAGUAAGGUUUAUUUUAUUCAGCAAUCGAAACAUAUUGUAUGUUAAGCGAUCAAGGCCACUAGCUGUAUCUUUUCUAGAUUUUACUGCACUGGAUAUUUCAUCAAUUGAGAAUGGGUCAGUGAGAAAUUUUGGGCAUGAAUUAACAGAAUUAAACUGUUUGUCAUCAAAAGGUGAGUGUACAAAAUCAGGAGUAUAUUUGCGUAAAAAAUCAUUGACCCAUGAUAUAUCUUUAAAAUGAUUUUGACGAUGUUUUGAAUUUAGUUUUCUCAUAUUUUGCCAAACAGUGGAAAUUGGUGUUAAUCUAUUAAAUUUGGAACAAAAUUCCUGCCACCCCUGUUGUCUUACUUGCUUAAUUACUAACUUUUUAACAGCUUGAACUCUUUUAAAAUUUAUGUAAUUAUCGAGAGUUGGAUUUUGUUUAAACCUAAGGUAAGCCGCUUUACUAUCAUUGACAGCUGUCGCACACCUGUUAUUCCACCAAGGUACUGCAAUAUGUUUGUGCCUCUUUGAAGUAUUUGCACCGCUAUUUGAUAAGUUCCUACGUGGAACGGAACGUUCCACAGCUGUCAAAAUAAUUUUACAGAACCUAUUGUAAUUGUUUAAGGGUUCAUUGACAUCAUACUCGAAAUCCAAAAGUAAUUGAUUAACAGUUUCAGAAUAAAGAUCCCAAUUAACGAGACAUGCUGCAACGCUCAGAAUUCUUACAGAAUUUAGCUAAAUGUCCAUACCUCAAGCACCGGUAGCAUUGUUUAACUGGUGGUAUAUAUGGAGUGACAUUGUGGCGCCAACCUCCAAUAUCCAGAUAUUCAGGUAAUACAGAUGCAGCAAAAGUAAUUGUCACGGUUAGAGUUGGCUGUAACACAUAUCCAUGAGUCAAGGUAUUUUUUCUUAAAAUUCUUUUAAUAGCAAUAAUUUUCUUAGAACUCGAUAUCAUAGUAUAUAUUUUUUUAUUAGAUAUAUUUGUAGGUACAUUUCUAAUAACGCCUGUAACUUCUGUUGAAGAAGCAGGAAUACUGGCCUUAAAAUGGUAGUCAUUUAAAAAAGUUUUAUUAUUUAAAAAAGCAUUGGCUAAGUCUGGCUUUUGAAAGUAUACUCCGAUUUUGAAUUUAUUUAUAGAUCUAAGAUAAGUUACCCCUUUAUUAAAUCGUUUUAAACAGGAGGAGAGUGAGAGCAAGUCUCUGGAUCCAAUGGUUUUCUGACUAUCUGAGGAUUCUACAAAGACAACAAAUUCUGUCCCAGGGGAUUCCUCGGGAUAUCUUCUAAUAUAAUCUGUGACGUAGUAAGGUUUAUACUUAUCGGCCUUAUCAAUUUCAGAUUCUGAGUCAGUAGAAGUAUCUUCCGAAUAUAUAUCCUUGUCAUUACAAGGUUCAUGGUCUACAUCACCUGAAUCGUCAUCUUUUUUUUUCCUUUUUCUACAACUGCGCUUCCCCAUGAAUGCUAAUUAUAUUACUGUCGCUGAAUUUAGUGAAAAUAUAAUAUUUUAUUCAAUAAUAAGAAUUGAUAGAGAUAGUUUUAAUAAAUUAAUAAAAAAAAUUUAAAAAA